UGGGGAAUUUUGGACAAUGGGCGAAAGCCUGAUCCAGCAAUGCCGCGUGUGUGAAGAAGGCCUUCGGGUUGUAAAGCACUUUUGUCCGGAAAGAAAUCCUUGGCUCUAAUACAGUCGGGGGAUGACGGUACCGGAAGAAUAAGCACCGGCUAACUACGUGCCAGCAGCCGCGGUAAUACGUAGGGUGCAAGCGUUAAUCGGAAUUACUGGGCGUAAAGCGUGCGCAGGCGGUUUGCUAAGACCGAUGUGAAAUCCCCGGGCUCAACCUGGGAACUGCAUUGGUGACUGGCAGGCUAGAGUAUGGCGAGAGGGGGGUAGAAUUCCACGUGUAGCAGUGAAAUGCGUAGAGAUGUGGAGGAAUACCGAUGGCGAAGGCAGCCCCCUGGGCCAAUACUGACGCUCAUGCACGAAAAGCGUGGGGAGCAAACAGGAUUAGAUACCCUGGUAGUCCACGCCCUAAACGAUGUCAACUAGUUGUUGGGGAUUCAUUUCCUUAGUAACGUAGCUAACGCGUGAAGUUGACCGCCUGGGGAGUACGGUCGCAAAGAUUAAAAACUCAAAGGAAUUGACGGGGUCAUAGCUGUUUCCU
rnacentral:rRNA from 1 species